GAUGAACGCUGGCGGCGUGCCUAAUACAUGCAAGUCGAGCGAACGGACGAGAAGCUUGCUUCUCUGAUGUUAGCGGCGGACGGGUGAGUAACACGUGGAUAACCUACCUAUAAGACUGGGAUAACUUCGGGAAACCGGAGCUAAGACCGGAUAAUAUUUUGAACCGCAUGGUUCAAAAGUGAAAGACGGUCUUGCUGUCACUUAUAGAUGGAUCCGCGCUGCAUUAGCUAGUUGGUAAGGUAACGGCUUACCAAGGCAACGAUGCAUAGCCGACCUGGGAGGGUGAUCGGCCACACUGGAACUGAGCCACGGUCCAGACUCCUACGGGAGGCAGCAGUAGGGAAUCUUCCGCAAUGGGCGAAAGCCUGACGGAGCAACGCCGCGUGAGUGAUGAAGGUCUUCGGAUCGUAAAACUCUGUUAUUAGGGAAGAACAUAUGUGUAAGUAACUGUGCACAUCUUGACGGUACCUAAUCAGAAAGCCACGGCUGACUACGUG
rnacentral:rRNA from 1 species